UCGCACACCCGUUAAGCCAACUAUCCGCACUUCUCACGAAUAGUCGCGAACCCGCUCAGCCGCCUCCGCUCACCGCUCCGGCCGCCCUUCGCCUACCGCGUUGCCUCCACCUCCCUCCUCCGCUUGCAGCACUACCCGCCGAUGUCCGCCUGCCAAAGCAACGCACCGACAUCAUCUUUCCAUCCCCGUGGCUCUUCCCCUUGCGGCCUUGCCACAGCCGCCGUGUCAUCACCCACCGCCAUCGUCUCCAGCCACCUACCUCCUCUCUUCUCCACUCUCAGUCCCACCCCCUCUAUUUCGACGUGGGCAGCGCCAGGUACACCGCUCCCCCUCCAAGAGCUUUUCUGCCCCUCCAUCACCAUUGCCACGGAGCCGUCGUCCAUCUGCAGCUCGCGUGAGCGGCAAAACGACGCGACGGCGGUGCGAUUAAGAGCUCCUCUAGGCCUCCCUCUGCUGGGCCCGCGCAUUGCAGACCUCGAGAGCAGCUCGCAUGACUGCAGGUCGACGCAAUGCCAAGUUGCCAACGCGAGUAGCAACUCCAGCCAUGGCCUUUAGAUGUGCAGCUCAGCCAUUGACUCCACUGUCUGCAAGAAAGUACCUAAUGGACCUCUUAUUAUGGGAUGUAAGAGUUGGAGUUCUAUGGAUUGUUGGCGGUAUCUGUACAUACAUACUUUAUCACUCAGCUGUCCUGGUACUGUGAAAUGGGCAUCUAGACUUGGCCGAGACUGAGAGAAUCACAAUAACCUCGCUCAGUUUAUGUUGGUUAUGGGCUACAACACUGAAGGUGUUCAUUCGGUGAUUAUGAAUUCUACUCCUCCGUUCCAAAUUAUAAGUCAUUUCGAGAAUCUUGGAGAGUCAAACCAUCUCAAAAUUUGACCAAAAUUAUAGAGAGAAACACAAAGAUUUAUGACAUCAAAUAGGUAUACUAUAAAAAUAUA